AACGAACGCUGGCGGCAGGCUUAACACAUGCAAGUCGAACGAGACCUUCGGGUCUAGUGGCAGACGGGUGAGGAACACGUGGGAACAUCCCUUUCAGUUCGGAAUAACGUUGGGAAACUAACGCUAAUACCGGAUACGUCCUUCGGGAGAAAGAUUUAUCGCUGAAAGAUUGGCCCGCGUCUGAUUAGCUAGUUGGUGAGGUAAUGGCUCACCAAGGCUACGAUCAGUAGCUGAUCUGAGAGGAUGAUCAGCCACAUUGGGACUGAGACACGGCCCAAACUCCUACGGGAGGCAGCAGUGGGGAAUAUUGGACAAUGGGCGCAAGCCUGAUCCAGCCAUGCCGCGUGAGUGAUGAAGGCCUUCGGGUUGUAAAGCUCUUUUGUCCGGGAAGAUAAUGACUGUACCGGAAGAAUAAGCACCGGCUAACUACGUGCCAGCCGCCGCGGUAAUAC
rnacentral:rRNA from 1 species